CCCUGCGGCCCGGGCUGCGCCGUGCGGGCGCGCGGGGCCGCGGCCUGCCGGGUUGCCAUGGAGACGGCCAUUUCUACCCAUCGCUUCUCACGUCGGCGGGCGAGGCCGCCUGCCGGGAGACAAAGGGAUGGAAGCGACACCGCGAGGGGAGAAUCCAUCCCGAUCCUGCGGAAGAACGCUUCCCCCGGCGCGCGGCCUGCCCUGGGUUCCCUGCGCGUGUCAUAAGCGUGUGUGGGGCUGCGCUCCGCGGGAACUAAACCGAACCAGACAGAAACAAAGCCCCUGGACCCCCAGCUCGCCCCACGUGCCCUCACUUGUGGAACCUGUGCGCGGGCACAUCCUGCGGCCUUAAGCCGAAAGUUUCCUGAUUCAGCGGUUGGCUUUGCUGCCCACGGCACUUGGGCUUGGAGCAAGAUGAUCUCUGAAGUCCCUUCCAACCUAAUCCGCUCUAUGAUUCUAUGAUUUCUUCUGGGGCUUCAGCUCCAAGCACAGAAAGCAAGUACGUGUCCCCAGUGUGCACGUGGCCACUAACGAAACACACAGCCCUGCAGGGCCCUCCCAGGGCUCCCCGCCGAUUUGCCUUGCCAAGGUGAUACUUGUGGUGCGACAGCUGCACUCUUUCACACGCCGGCUGUUUAGCAACUGACCUGAUUGAAAAUCUCAUCUAAUUUGACUCCUGUACUGUAGGGGGAAGAAGAGGAAGAACGCAAAAUGUAACGAUCUGGAUCUUUCCUUUCAGUGCUCUGGUUUCUAGUCAGAACAUUACGUGUAAGGUUGUGGAAGGGAAAGAAAAAGUACUACAUUGGCAAAAAUAGUUGCCUCUCAUAACAGGACCUUGUGUUACGCAUUCUUGACCCUGCAUGAACUCUUUUACUCAUUUCCUUUUUCUACUUUGUAUGAUAUUGUCUUAUUCCUCUACUUAACCUGUUAGUAUCAGCUUCAUAUCAGUAAUCUCUCAGUGCAAGAGUUCCUCAAUAAAGGUUCUCUUAAAACUCA